UGCAGCUAUGUCAAAUUCAGUGCCUGCCUUACCCACAGCAGGCACUGGCCUAAAAGGCUGCCACAGAGACACUGUAACUCAUGGGCCCUGUUUCUCUCUGCUGAGCCUCAGGGAUAAACUUUGUUACAGACAUGA
rnacentral:snoRNA from 1 species